GCAAGCGUUAUCCGGAAUUAUUGGCUAAAGAGCUCGUAGGCGGUUUGUCGCGUCGAAUGUGAAAACCCGGGGCUCAACCCCGGGCCUGCAUUCGAUACGGGCAGACUAGAGUUCGGUAGGGGAGUCUGGAAUUCCUGGUGUAGCGGUGAAAUGCGCAGAUAUCAGGAGGAACACCGGUGGCGAAGGCGGGACUCUGGGCCGAUACUGACGCUGAGGAGCGAAAGCGUGGGGAGCAAACAGG
rnacentral:rRNA from 1 species